AACGUAGGAGGCGAGCGUUAUCCGGAGUACUGGGCGUAAAGCGCGUGUAGGCGGUUAUGUAGGUCUGAUGUGAAAGCUCCCUGGCUAAACCGGGAGAGGUCAUUGGAAACCACACAACUAGAGGUCGGUAGAGGGACAUGGAAUUCCGGGUGUAGUGGUGAAAUGCGUAGAGAUCCGGAGGAACACCAGUGGCGAAGGCGGUGUCCUGGGCCGAAACUGACGCUGAGACGCGAAAGCAUGGGUAGCGAAC
rnacentral:rRNA from 1 species